rnacentral:pre_miRNA from 15 species
CAUGCCAUAACAUACUUCUUUAGAAUUCCAUACUGAAUCUCCUCAACUCUAUGGAAUGUAAAGAAGUAUGUAUUGAAACU